CAGAUAGGAAACCUCUUUCUGUUAACUUUUGCUUGCAUAGUGCUGUGGGUUUCAGGUGGGUUAUGCUCAGUGAUGUUAGCUGUGUGCCCAGCUUAACAUGCUCAGAAUAAGGCCUACAGACACAGCCGCGUACAGAGCUCAGUGUGCAGCGCGGCACGUAUACACCUCCACGGGCACCGUACCGCGGCCGCGGCUCUGCGCUGCCGUGCGGUGAUGUGAGCGCGGAGCACGGGUGUGCGGCGGCCCCGCGUGCUCCGAGCGGUGCGGGUGGAACACAUCUUGCGGCCUCGGGGCUUCGGCGCGGUUCUGAGAUCCGCGAUAGGCCAGGGACGUUCCUCGGGUCCGCCACGAACGCCCGCGCCCGGCUCUCGGAGGAAGCUCCGCGUUCGGCGGAGGAACGCCCGAAGCGCUCCGUGCCGCGUUCGCUCCUGCACAGAGCCCGGGACAGGGCCUCGCAGCCCCGCACGGCCCCGCACGGCCGCGCGCCGUGUGACCCCGCGGUGGGACGGGACAGCAGCACCAGAGCAGUUCCACGUUUCUCCUCCUCCCCCGAGUUCCGAUUCUGGACUCGAGGCGCGGGCCGUUUCUGAGGCGGCGCCCCCCGCCCCGCCUGUGUCGGUGAGACGCGGGGACGGCCCCGGCGGCGGCAGGACGGGCAGAGGCGCAAACGACGGCACGGAGAGGUGGGCCGCCGGAGGAUGGAUCACAAGGACUCAUGUGAUGGAGGUUUUGGCCCGCUCACAGUGGAGCAAUGAACGGAGCCUUUCCGCAAAUGCAAAUUUUGUCAUUGUUCCUUUCCGUGCUCCUCUCCCACCGCCCCUGGUCCGUGGAGAAAGCGGCCUCCCCCAUCCGCCUUCUGCGGGCAGAGCAGGGAGAGUGACACCACAACCACUCACCGGCGGAGUGUCAGCAAAUGAGCCCGAUUCCUGUCCUGGGGAAGCAUUUUGUAAUACUGCCUGCCCUGAAAAUGCAAAGAAUGGAACACGGAAUUCUUGAGGAAAUGCUAAGAGGACUUCAUGUUGUAGCGGGACUAAACCACAGCUCCCUCUGCAUUACUUCCUUCUAGCAGUUAACUUGGAAGAUGUGUUCUGAAAAUAUGCUUUUAUGAAGGAGAAAAGCCCCUCUGCCACUCAGGCACCCACUCAGCAGCACCCUCAGCACCCCCUGCCCGGGGGACGGGUGGGGGCUGGGCAGAGCUUCUGCACUGAUGUGUACUCCCAGUUCCUGCACAACACCUGCUGCAAAAAUUCCUAAUUUUUAACUUGUUUUCAGUAUUCGUCUUCUAGCUUACAACAAGACCUGUGUGAUGCUGCACGUCCACAGAUUCCCUCUGCUGCAGCAGUGCUUUCAGCAGUACUUGACAGCAGAAAGAGCGCAUUCCAGCCCUGUGUGGAUGGCACUCACCAGCAACAAAGGCCAAAUGCACACUGCCACAGCCCACUGCCCUCAUUUCAGAACUACUUCUGUGUCCCAGGGUGACGUAAAGGCAGUUUCUGCCCUCUGUUCUCUCCUUCAUCAUCAGACAGCCAGGAAGGCGCUGUGCUUUCUGCAGGAGUGGGGAGAAGCUGUCAAACAGCAUUUCUCCACCGCUGUUCUGUCCCACAGUUUCUGCAGAACCUCAAUAGAGUGCUUCUGAGGCUGCUACCAGCACCGACCUGUGCUUGUGUCAGUGCAGUUUAAACACAAUAUUUUACUAAGAGAUGAGCAGUAGGAACAGGAGAUGACAGUGAUCACUAAGCCUGUGUUGCUGAUGUUUGCACAGCAGGAGCAUGUUGAGGCCCUGGCAGAUGCAGGGCUGUGCUGUGCACUGGUCUUCCUGCACGUGGCCCAGCUGGAGACAGCACCUUUCCAGCAGCACCAAAGGAGACCCCAGGUGGUUCCAUCACUGGAUGGUGCUGGGAUGCCCUGUUAAUGUACGUGGCUGAAGAGAAGGAGAUGCUGGAUGGAUUUGCCCCAGUUGGUGCUGUGUGACUGUUUCACACUUUGUGACCCAUGGGCAGAGAGGUGUUUGUCAUUACACAAAUCCCUGCAGCGUGAUUAGUUUGCCUAAUACUUGGCCUGCUUUUUCUCAGGGCAGGAUAAAAAUCCUGGAGCUCUCAUUGGUUGGCAGCAUCAAGGAGACAGUGAGAUUUGUGUUGCCGCUGCAAGAGGGUUUCUCUAUAAGUGAUGUGGGUGUCACACAUUGCUCCUCGUGGUGCAUGGGACUGCUUAGUGGGGCUGAGUCGCCAAAUGUGGGUGGAGAGGAGAGGGGGAGAAGGGGAAAUGAAAGAAGGAAAGAGUCUUGAAAUCACCAUGAAGCAAGAAGAGGAUGAUGGGAAGGUCAAGGACAAAUGGGGUAGAAAGAAUUACCAAAACAGUAGGGGGAAAUGUAAUCUGGUAGAAUUUAUCUUCAUGGUACAAAAGAAAAGUGCUCUCAGGAUGGGUAGUGCUGGCAAAAGGCCGUGGUGUUGGUGGCCACACCAAUGCACAGAGCCAAAUUACACCGGUUUUCAGCUUGGGCUGGACCAGUGAAGGUAGGAACACAUUUCUAGCACUGCGCACAUCAUUGCCUGUCUUAAGGUGCACUGUAAGGGGAGGUGGUGAGUGCUCACUUACAGCCAGGACAAGAGAGCAGCCGUGCAGGCAAGAUUUACAUUGCAGUCAACUUGUUUUCUCAACACACUUAUUUACCUCGUGAGUAAUGAAUAAAUGCUGCAGAGAAGCACAGUCAAGCUAAGAUCUAAUGCAAGUGGCAGCCUUUGACUGAUAUGCCAUUCAGAUCAAGAUGUUCUGUCUUACCAGGCACAUGGGUUGGGUUUGUACACCUACGAGUCCUCACUUCAUAAGGAAAAUCUGCCAUAGAUUUCCAGAUGAGCAUCUCUGUUUUGUGGCAGUGUGCAGUAUACACUGAGGCUCCAGCAGGACAGACACCUCUCAUACUGGUCAAACCAUUCCAUUUUUAAAAGUCUGUUCUUGACUUUUGCUCUGGCAAAGCACCAAUUCUGUUAAAUCACAUCUGAUCAGACAAAGGGUUUGUGGCUUUUUGUGUCUGGCCUGAGAACUUAUUGCCUUGAAACUGCGUUUGCUGGGGAGCUGGAAAUCCUUGCCAACAUUGAGCAUUUCUGCUCAGCAGCUUAGAGCUCCUUUCUGAGAUUAUCUGAGUGCAGGAGGGCCGGAUUGCUGUGCACGGUGCAGUGCUGUGUCCAUGGGGCCUCAGUGCACUGCCAUGGUACAGACAGCGUGGUGGCUGCAGGGAGGUGUCUGCACUGCUUCACAUAAAGGAACAAAACAAAAUGGUCACAGAGUAGAGAACAGGUUCUUGUUUUUCCCUUACAUUACUCAAUAUGGUUCUGAUCAAGCCAUUCAAACAACUGUUUUAAUCCUUUGGAUGUUAAACAAGGUGCAGCCAUUUAAUGUGCACAGUGGCUUUGUGGGCUAAGGAAAUGUUUUCUUAGCUUUCACCCCAAAGGUUGUCUUGGCCAUCGCCAGCAGUUGUGUUGUAGACACAGGAAUGUGUGCAGAAGAGGAGUUUGUACUCCAAACACAGGCCUGCCUACAGCUGCUGCAAAGAAGAUGUUGCAGUCACCAAAAAUGCGCAUUGAGGUUCUCUGCUCUCCUUGAAAUGUUAAAGGUAUCAGCUGGUGUGACUGUGUCAGCUUGAAUAUGCUUAUGUUUCAAAUGGGCUGGAUUUCUAAGUGCUGUUAUUUAUAUAUGCUGGUCUUGCACCUAUACUGAGAUGUAAAGAUAUUGGUUUUGUUGUUGUUGUUGUUUUGUUUUUUAAUGAAUGCAGCUAAGAAUCCUGUUAAUGCCUCAUCCACAGCACCAAAAACAUCUUCCUUUGUCAUAUCUCCUCUGGAGAGGUCAGGAAACUGCGCUCAGAAGCUUUGCUGGCCUUCCUUUUUAUUGGUGUGCUACAUGAGAAAUAUUGCCCCUGUUGUGGACUGUCUGUACAUGUAAGCACACAUAGAUAACAUUUAUGUUCUGCCAGAAGGGGGAACAGCAGCCCCUCUCUGUGAGCUGCCCGGGCUCUUCUGUUGCUAAGUCUGCCCCCAUUGCC
rnacentral:lncRNA from 1 species